rnacentral:lncRNA from 1 species
ACUUGGGGCCCUUUAGUUUCGCAUCUGGACCUUCGAUAUUCACAUCAGGAACAUCAACGUCCACUUUGGGUCCUGAGACAUCAAUGUCAGCCUUGGGCAGGUUCACAUCCACUUCUGGACCUUCUCCUUUGAAGCCAGGCAUGCUGAUCUUGGGCAUUUUUAUCUUAGGCAUCUUCAGGUGCCAGUCUGGGCCUCGAACAUCCACAUCUGGACCUUCUCCUUUGAAGCCAGGCAUGCUGAUCUUGGGCAUUUUUAUCUUGGGCAUCUUUAGGUGCCAGUCUGGGCCUUGAACACCCACAUCUGGGGCAUUAAUAUCCACUUUGGGCCCCUUGAUGUCAACUUCGGGGCCCUUGAGGUCACCUUCCACUUUG